rnacentral:rRNA from 1 species
AUGGGUCUAGUCUCAAGUGCCCUCGAAUGGUGGGAGGAGUGGCAGCUGCGUGUCCUUGUGCUCGGCAGCCUGUGUGUCCAGUUUUUGCUCUUCUUCUCCAUAUGGGUGCGUCGAGUCCCUGGCCUACGCAGGCUGAGAGCGGUGGUGUGGAUGGCGUACAUUGGAGGCGACGCCCUGGCCAUCUACGCUCUUGCCAUCCUCUUCAACCGCCAUAAGGAGCGUACGCCGUCGACGACGACACUUGUGGUUGGUGAGGGCAGGAGCGCAGGCGACCUGGAGAUCGUAUGGGCGCCUGUUCUCCUCAUCCACCUUGGUGGCCAUGUAACAUUGAGUGCCUUCAGCCUCGAGGACAAUGAGUUGUGGCUUCGACAUGUCAUAACUCUUGGGUCUCAGGUCACGGUCUCCUUGUACGUCCUCUGCAAGUGGUGGUCCGGCCAGCAGAGAUUGCUGCUGGCCGCGGUGGUGCUCUUCAUCUUUGGCAUCCUCAAGUUGAUGCUUAAGCCAUGGGCUCUGAGAAGAGCUAGCUAUAGUCAUAUGCUGGCUUCCACCGACGUGUCCCUGCAAAGAGCAGAACAAGGAAGUAGCUGUUUUGCGUGGUUGACAUGCUGCACUUCCAAUACCUCAACCAAGAAAGAAGGCGAUGGAGCAGGGGAGUGUGCCCUUUCCCUUGAUGAAUAUGUGCGACAAGCAAAGAAGAUCUGUGAUCAACAAGUCGGUGAACCCACAGUGAAGAAGGAGGCAAAGAUGGCAAUCAGAUACACGGAUUACUUUGUGGACCUGUCCGCUCCAUAUAGUGGUCUGCGAUGUCUCCAGAAUCUGCGAUGUCUCCAGAAUCUGCGUCCUCCUCCUCCCCACCAAGACAAGAAAAAGAACAACAACAAGAAGAAGAAUGCAUCAUACGAGAUGCUGCAAAAGUGCUUUGAAGAUACAUUCGAUCUCCUGUACACCAGAGUGGGAUUCACCCGCAUUGAGAGUCUGUUGGUGGUUCUGCUUCCCUUGCUGGCUUUGGCAUCCGUGGUCCUCUUCGCCACGAGCCACAAGCUGGGCUAUAGCAGCAGGGACAUCAAGGUGACCUACAUCCUCUUUGCUUGCACUACUAUGGUCGAGUUCUUACUGCCCCUGUGCGGCAUUAUUUUACCGUGUAUCCCUUGCCUAAAUUUCCUCAUCGACGGAUGGCAUGACAUGGUUUCCCAGUACAACCUCAUGUCGUUCUAUGUUCGCAAGAAGAAACCCACCUUCCUGAUGAAGCUCGCUUUCUUCCAAGGUCUAAGGGACUAUGUUAGCAAGGUUUGGUAUAUAAGGCAGGUACCCGCUGCCUGCCAGAUCACGGAGCUGAUUCAAGGACACAUAGAAGACGGAUGGAAGACGUCCAUAAGUGAUGCCGUGGGAUACAGGAGGUUCAGCGAUCUUAGAGGCGAGCUGGCUCUAAAGAAGUACCAACAUAAGCUUGGCCUUGGACACAAGGCAUUGUGGGAUAGUUUGAUUGUGCCCUUGGACAAGAGUGUCCUUCCUUGGCACAUCGCCACAAACCUCUGCUUUCACAGCCCAGAGGCCAAGGUAUCCUCCUCCCCUCGAGGACAGAGACAGACCAAUCUUAGUAGGAACAUGUCUGACUAUAUGUUGUACCUACUUUCGACCCAUGCUGAGAUGUUGUUGCCCGGCACCAGACCGGGUCUCUUCACCGUCGCCACAUAUGAUCUAGACGACAUCUUGAAGAACAGCGAGGCAAAGCUCGAGAAUGAAGAAGCAAUUGCUCGAGAGAUUCUUAAGCACAAGAACGGUAGUACUGUGAUUCAUCAAGCGUGCGGGCUCGCCGAGUCACUGAUGGAGCUGCGUGAAGAGGACAAGUGGGCGAUAAUACAGGGCGUGUGGGUCGAGAUGCUCUGCUACUCCGCAAGUAGAUGCAGAGGUUUCCUGCAUGCCAAGAGCCUGGGUGCAGGCGGGGAGUACCUCUCCUAUGUCUGGCUCCUCUGGUCAUACAUGGGGAUGCAGACCUUGGCAGACAAGAUCCAAAAGCCUGAGUCUCCGUCAGAAAAGGAAAUCCUUGCUGCGGCCCAUGAAUUGCCUUCUCCAUGUCAGAGCGCGUCCGUGCGACACGACCACCUCGCGUGCAGCCGUGCAGGACUGGGAGGCGCCAGAUCCGGGCCAACGCCGCCGCGCGAUCCCAAGAGCUCUGACCAACGGAAGCAGCCGCGGGACCCUUCACUCCGGUCCCAUGUCCAUCGCCGAGGUUGGGUUGGGGUGGACAGAAGGGAGGGCGGUCGACGGGCGAACUGGGGAUUGGGGAUGAACUGCUACGCUGGCAACUGCUCCAGUUCUCGUACACGGACCGAACAGAGGUAA